rnacentral:rRNA from 1 species
GACGAACGCUGGCGGCGUGCCUAAUACAUGCAAGUCGAGCGGACGUUUUUGAAGCUUGCUUCAAAAACGUUAGCGGCGGACGGGUGAGUAACACGUGGGCAACCUACCUUAUCGACUAGGAUAACUCCGGGAAACCGGGGCUAAUACCGGAUAACAGCUAGCACCUCCUGGUGCCGGAUUAAAAGAGGGCUUCUUGCUCUCACGCUGAGAUGGGCCCGGGGCGCAUUAGCGAGUUGGAGAGGUAACGGCUCCCCAAGGCGACGAUGCGUAGCCGACCUGAGAGGGUGAUCGGCCACACUGGGACUGAGACACGGCCCAGACUCCUACGGGAGGCAGCAGUAGGGAAUCUUCCGCAAUGGACGAAAGUCUGACGGAGCAACGCCGCGUGAGUGAUGAAGGGUUUCGGCUCGUAAAGCUCUGUUAUGAGGGAAGAACACGUACCGUUCGAAUAGGGCGGUACCUUGACGGUACCUCAUCAGAAAGCCACGGCUAACUACGUGCCAGCCGCCGCCGUAA